rnacentral:lncRNA from 1 species
GUUACCAACUAGAGGGCUGGUUAGUUCUUCCAAGCCAGUAAAAACACUCGAAAUACCAAAAUUAUCAAACAUUUCAUAAUGAGGAGGAAAGCUCAUGAUUGUAUAUAUGAAUAGAAUUGAUAAAACAAGAAUAAAAUGCGCAGAAUGAACAAGACGAAGAGGAAAUUGACAGAAUUGAAAUACAAGCAAUUGAAGAAAAAUAAAAAGCUUAAGAGUUGUCUUCUUCCAUGCCACCUCCUUGAGUUGAGAACAGAUUAUAUAGCUGAGCAGGUUUGAUUGGGCUCAACUAGAUUUAUAGUCUGAAUUGUCUAGAGGCCCAAUUAUAUAAAUAGUCUGGUCCAACCCGAGUUUCAAUACAAGUCCGUUACAAUCCCUUCCCCUUAAAUUAUCCUUGUCCUCAAGGAUAACAGUGUAUGGAAAACAAUUUCCUGGCCCAAGGACAAAAACUAAAGCACUCCAAAACCAAGCACGAGACAAUCUCUCGACGGAAGUGACCAAUUUUUCCAGAAGCAUCAAGUUCUUGCAGAUUACUUCUCUUGGACCAAUACCCGUAUAAGCUUCCAAUUUAUUCAUCAAACCAACCCCAGAAAUGUCUUCUAGAUUAAAUGCUAAAAGCAACACACUCCAGUACCAAGCAUGUCUAAUUAAUGACCCCUCUAAAGAUAGUGGUAACAAUCUAACACCAACAGGUAAUUUCGAAUCAGACUUGAUAUGCGCCAACUUGAGCACUUCAAUUUUUCCCAACUCGUUCCGUAUGUCUUGGGUAAGUUUCUCAAAACUUUCUAGUGCUUUAAUAGGACCAUUAUGAAUAACAACAAGAAUUAAACUUACUAAUUCAAACCUCAACUCAACAAACACAUAUUUCAUGUCUCCAUUGUCAAGCAUGGUAGUUUCUUUACCUUUAGAAAUCAGAAUGCUAUCAGGAUAUCGAUCAAAAUUAUGUGUGAUAUCACCUGGAUCAAACACCAACACGAUAUCAUUCCAAAACCAAGCAACGACGAGUCCAUCAGAUUUCUUUUUGACGACAUCAAAAAUCUGUUUAUUGUCGGUAUGAACCAUUGAAAGUUCUUCAAAAUCAGUUAAUAUACAUUCACCCCUGAAAAUCCCAACAGCCACACCAAAAUGCUCCGUCUGCAGCAACUUUACUAUAUUAUCAUGGGCUUGUCCUGCCAAGUGAGGGUUUCCUGAUGUCGCAUUGACCUCUGUAGAAUUCUCACUAACAACAUAAACAGAGACUCUUGAUGUGCCUCUGCCAGGAGCAAAAUUAAGCGCAUCAUUCAUAGCAAAGUUGCCUGACUUGUUAUCCAACUCAUAAGCUAUUGCAGGCUCCUUGAUGGUUACCAUAUACAAGAUACCCUCAGAAACUUCUCGCAUGGUAAUCAUUAGGAAUACCUUUUCUGCAGAAGCUUGUGUCUCUUCCUCAUGAUAUGUAGGCUCAUCAAUAACAAAAACACUGUCCACAAGUUGCAAGACAAUAUUAACAUUAAUAUCAAAACUAUAUGUUGAUCCUUCCUUUUUACCAAAAUCUUCUGCCACCCCUCUAGAAGAGCCUCCAAUUUUAACAACACUUUCCAUUGUGCCUUCACAUCCAUUAAAUGCACCUUUAAUUUUACUCCCACUUGCUUCCUCGUUAGGUACCUUGGUAUCAAUAUCAGAGAUAAUUUCCAGACCAAAUAAUGGCAUCAAGAUCAAGUUCUCGACUAUAAUUGCUCCCACCAAUUUCCUAACAGCCAAAAUGGUCGUGAGAGUAUCUGCCUCGUAAGUAGCCAAAACAUAAGCACCAUUCUCCGGUUUUAAGAGCUGAAUCAACUCAGAUGAAGUAAAUAAUGUAACACCAACAUCAAAUGCAAAGACAUUCCAUGAAUCCGGAAGAAACUCAUAAGCUGUGCAUGUUGACAAAAAUGCAAAAACACGAUGAUGGAAGAACUCUACUUCUGAUUUUAACAUUAUAUUUGGUAGCCCUUGAACCUUACCGUACUCGUUUUCAUGUAGUUUGUAAGUAGUCAUAUCAUUCUUAGCAAGUUCAAAUGUAGAAUUUGGUUUCAAAGCUCUAAGGUUCAACUCAGCAUGGAUAGUCAUGGACUUAGUAGCAUAGGUAGUUGCUAGUGUGGUAUCGAAAACAUACCCUCUCUCCGAACUUUCAUCAAACACUUUGCACACAGACAUAGGAAGUGGCAAUUGUAAUUGUUCUGAACUUUCCGAAUUCUUAGUUCCAAGUUUGCUCAAAUCAUCCAGUUCUACAAUAACAGCAGAAUCAAUUUGAGGAAAUGGACUUACAAAUUUCGUGGAAACGUCUUCUAACUGAUGCUGCAAAGUGCCUUCAUCAACUUCUUUUGACUUCCCUUGUGCUUUCUUGUCAUUUACAUUUGACCUGUUUGAAAAAUUGUCCUGCAUCUUCUCAAUUAUCGCAAUCAUUUGAGUAAGUUUGUCUUCCCACUGGUCCACCUCAUCAUUGGCAGCAGCUGUAAUCAUCGGUAUGUUAGUGAGAUGUGGGUUGUCCAUAAGUUUGGGAGAAUCAGCAAUUGCACUGGUGGGUGUUGCAGGAGUGGUUGAUGCAAGGGCAUAAUAAGGUUGUCCAGUAGAAAGUGUGGUGUGUAAAUUUAGAGUGGACGGUAGGGUGUAGAAAUGAGGUAAGGAAAGUGGUGGUGGCAGAGGCGGUUCAAUAUGGUGAGACACAUGUGUUGGUGGUGUAUACUCAGCUAAUUGAGAAAAAUUAGGGUUGCUGGCCUGAUGUGGGGAAGGAAGCUGAUUCCAUGGGAUGUCAUUCACCAAAUCCAUGUUAUCCAUUUCCGAGGAACGCCAGCUCUGAUACCAUUUGUUACCAACUAGAGGGCUGGUUAGUUCUUCCAAGCCAGUAAAAACACUCGAAAUACCAAAAUUAUCAAACAUUUCAUAAUGAGGAGGAAAGCUCAUGAUUGUAUAUAUGAAUAGAAUUGAUAAAACAAGAAUAAAAUGCGCAGAAUGAACAAGACGAAGAGGAAAUUGACAGAAUUGAAAUACAAGCAAUUGAAGAAAAAUAAAAAGCUUAAGAGUUGUCUUCUUCCAUGCCACCUCCUUGAGUUGAGAACAGAUUAUAUAGCUGAGCAGGUUUGAUUGGGCUCAACUAGAUUUAUAGUCUGAAUUGUCUAGAGGCCCAAUUAUAUAAAUAGUCUGGUCCAACCCGAGUUUCAAUACAAGUCCGUUACAAUCUGCUCUCCCCAAUCAAAUCGCCCUUAUCAUCCCUGAUUUUCUUCCGACUUGUCUUGCCAACCCAAGUCCCACACCCCGCUUUUUUGGAGGUGUUUUUGGAAGCAGCACUGCUUGAUAGUUUGGACAAUCUGGUGAACACAAACAUGUACUUCUGAGAGGGUUUAAUACGAGGGGACUUGAGCCAACAUUCAUCGUUGGGAUCAAAAACUUGCCAUGGAUUGGAACAAGGGCCAUACACUUCUCUGUUCUUGACAAGAUUGCAUGAGAAUUGUUUUCUGGUAAUCCUGGGCUUGAGAUAAUCAGCGAUUAAUUCUUGAUCAAAGGGAUCAAACCUCCACCCACUCCUUGUUUCAUCAUCAUCUCCCAUCCUCUUGCUUUUUUACACACUCAAACUCAAGCGCUUCUUGCAAAGAACAGUAGAGUAGUUGUAAACAGAUAUAGAAACUUAAAAGAAGUUGUAAUCAUAACAAUGUGGAUUCUUCCCUCUUUAUAUAUAUAGGCUUCGUUGAGGGUUCUGAUUUUCUGAGUAAGUGCCAGGUAAGGAAACCCCUGUCGAACGUUGGGGUUUCCAUCCCGGUCUUGUUUAGCAGG